UACAUAGAAUGCAAGCGUUAUCCGGAAUGAUUGGGUUUAAAGGGUCCGUAGGCGGGAUAAUAAGUCAGAGGUGAAAUCCUACAGCUCAACUGUAGAACUGCCUUUGAUACUGUUGUUCUUGAAUUCGGUCGAAGUGGGCGGAAUAAGUAGUGUAGCGGUGAAAUGCAUAGAUAUUACUUAGAACACCGAUAGUGAAGACAGCUCACUAGGCCUGAAUUGACGCUGAGGGACGAAAGCGUGGGGAGCGAACAGG
rnacentral:rRNA from 1 species